UGCAUCUCGUUUGCUGUCUGUGAAGAACGCCAGUGUGAGGUGAGGUAAUCUAUAUAGUGUAGUAGGUAGUAUCCCAAUUUUUCGAAUGAACCUCCUGGAAUUUUAAGAGGCUAAACAUGGCUCAAGUAAUUAAGUUAUAGAGUUUAAUGGAAUUGAUAUUUUCUGACUCCACUCAGCCCACAUAGAAAGCAGAAUAUUACAUUCCUUCCUCCUCUAGUUGAUAACUGGGAUGGAGAAAUGUCAUUUUGGAAGACCUCUGUGAAAACUGAUGCGCCAUGAAGGCAUUAUAGAGGACUCUAAAGGUAUAAUUAUUUAAAUUGUUAUUCUUAUACCUGAAGUUCUUUCAAAAGUUAGACAUUAUGGUGUGCACCAAGAAAAUUUCAUGCCUAGCACUGCUUAAAGAUACUCAUUUUUGUAUAAUUUUUAUUUUGUUGAUACACUCACUGUUAAAAGAGAUUUGAGUGUUUGAUGUAUUUUUCCUUACUUCUCUUAAAAAGCUCCAGUGAAAAAAAUGCAUUUUAAAAUAAUUAAGGAUUGAUUUUAUAUUUCCUCCCUGCCUUGCCAGGAUUGUGUGUUCCCUUCAGAGGGGAAGUUAGUAAGGAAAGAUGCUCUUUCUCUUUGUAUUUUGUAGUAUGACUGAAUCUUUUACCACUCUCCUCAUGCUGUUUCCCAAAGGAGAAGGUCAAGAAGUGACUGGUUUACCAGCUUUGGAAGAGUAAUGCACCCUGCCUUGGAGCAGCUGCCUAUAGACUGAAACUUCUGCAAACUGUGAGCUAAAAUAAACUUUUCUCCUUUAACUUGUGGAUAUCAGAACCAUACUGUUUGGAUUCUCCAACAACCAGACUUCUCUGGUGUCUCCUGUCUCAGUCCUGUGGAGACAAACAGGAUUACCCAACCAACCUUCGGGGUCUCUUCUAGCUCUGCCUGCCUACCUCUAUGUCUCAAUGGAAAGGAGGAGACUCAGACCCAACAAAGAAGCCUGCCUCCUCAGUUCACUUAUUUCCAGGGGAGGUCCCAGUAACCCAC
ensembl:lncRNA